CAAUUAAACGGGAAAAGUUGUAGCGCUGUAUGUUUAAUUAUUUCAUAAGCGUAUAGCUUUUCCCCUUAGUUG
rnacentral:pre_miRNA from 1 species